UCUUCCCAGUGCUUUUAAGAAAGGCGACUAGAUCACUGGAAUUAUUUUGGAAGCAGGUUUUGACUGGAUAACCAUAAAGAGUGGCAUUUCUUAUUCCUUGAUUCCCACAAUUAAACAGCACUGACCCUGUGUGACCCUGUAUCCUAGGAUGCAGGAUAUUCUCUACCAAACUUAUCCCACGUGUGCCGCCUCGAUGCAGUGACCCCACCCAAAUUUGUGGGUUGGGCUAAAUGACGAUGUGUCAGAACAUUGUACAUGACAGACUAUCUUUGGCCUCUAGGUCAGUGUUGCAGUUAAGUAAGGAGGACAACUUAUUGGUGAAAUUUUUCUUCAGUUUCUGGUAAAAUAAAAUGACAUUGCCUGUGGUAGUUUUGAACUGGCUGCCCGGCCCUGCAAGGCAGCCAUGCUGCAGCUUCCUCCAGUGUUCCGCAGGUUGAGGUAGUAGGUUGUAUAGUUCAGAGUGACACCACAGGAGAUAACUGUACAGCCUCCUAGCUUUCCCUGAGGAAACACCACACGCUCUGUACACUGAUGGAUUAUUUCAUAAACGCCAAGAUCUGUGCAAUAUUUGUGUAUGAGAGUUUUAUCGCCUGGUUGUAAACACAGCUUCUCUGUCAGGUGGUUUUGUGUCUGUUUCUUAAUACUCUGAAAUUUCUUCUGUUUAAUUCAAAGUGUUGUUUUGGGGGUUUUUGUUUUCUCUUUUAAGCAGAUAUGGGAAGAGAUAAAGAUAUUUUGCUAAAGACCUGCAUGAACAUGGCAAACACUGCAUCUCGUUUGACACUUGGAAAACAAAGUUGAAACAAUGACAGCACAGAUUAGGGAGGGGGGGCAAAGAGAAAUCAUUUCAAAAUAUGAGGAAAAGCACUAGCAUGCUGCUGCAGUGAUGUUUGCGGGACGCUCUAAUGAAGGAGAUGCCACUGAAGGGAAACACACCAUACAGCCGCAGGGGAAGAACAAGGUCUUGGUGGCCAAUUAUGCACAAAGUUCACUUUCACUUAACCAAAACGAUAUACUUCCUCUGCGCAGCUAUGUGGUAAAGACACUGCUGUGAUCAAAACAGCCAGUAACAACUUUCACUGCUUCAAACCAAGAAAACCACAGGCCCCUGAAAUUAUCUAGGUUCCUGACUGCAAUUUAGAAAUGCGCUGAAUUACUUCUUAAUUUUGGCUGUGUUCAAUUUCUCGGGCUUCGUCUCAGACCGUGUGACCUUUAUCUGCUCUUCAGGCAUAUUUUCGUUGCAUACUUUUGAACUCUGUUGGAUACUACAUUUUUUUAAACUCCCACUUUAAGGUGUUGAAAUAGACACUGCCAAAUAUGCAUACACAAGAAAUUAAUGUAAAGAAAGUGUUGUUAUUUAAUUUGUUUCAACUGUUUGGUGGGUGUCUAAGAAAUAUGGAUCUUUAUGAGUACAAAAAUUUUUUAGUUGUCCUGCCAUAAAAGUAUUUAACUUGCACGUUUUCUUUUAAGCCUGAACUGUAAAUAUACAUUAGACACUGGAUAUAGCGCUGCUAGGUUAGAGAUGGUAUCCUACUCCUGUAGUGCGGUAUGCUGCUGUGUGCAGAUGUGUAGUGCAGGGAGUGUCAUGGUGAUGAAAGACUGUUUCCACUUAAACUCUAUGCUCUCUGUCCCAAGGCCACCGGGUUCGAUAGAGGUGGGGUAAGGAGCUCUUUGGGCCAGAAUGAAGAAGGGGCCCUUGGUACGGGGCAGCUUUUGCAAGAGCGCAAGCAUUCAGUUACAGUAGAUACAACGUGAAUCGACUGUUGGGUUUUUCACUGUGCCUAAUUAUCCUUGCUUACUUUUUUUCCCCCCUCGCCCUUGUUCUAGAAAAGCGUAUUCACACUUCUUUCUGUGCUUGGUGGUUUGUUGUUGCCAUGUGGUAGUGCAUUACAUUAUACAGCAGGAGGCAUAAAGGAGCUCUCCCUGACUGACCCCCCACCCAGCACACACGGCCCACCCUCGCUGUGGAAUCUGUGCAGGUUUUUUGUCUUCUUUGGAAAUUUCUAUAAAUAGUCCCGGUUGACUCUUGUCGUGUUAGUGUGCGGAGACAAGGUGGAAGUAAAACUGAGCAUAAAUGAAGGGACCCUUUGCCGCACUGAAGUGCACGUGAUGCCUUUCAGACAUCGUGACAUGUGAUGUCCGCGAGCAAGGAGAGAUGCCUUAAAAGUGAAUUUUCGAUUUUAAAAAAAACAACGAAGAAGAAGAAAGAAAAGAACGAGGCUCUGGUGAUACAGGGAGAAAAACAGCAAAAUGUAAAUGAGAGCUGAAGAAGUGAGAACUGUCUGCCUGAUUUAUUAUUUUUAAAUUGACUUCAGAAUAAAAGAGAGACCUAUUUAAACCAGCAGGGGGAAAGGGGUGGGGGGCGAUAACGUUGGGACCACACAGGCCAUUUUUCUGCUGUCACUGAUCUCAGCCUAUUGUGCGCUGUCCGUCAGAAGAACCCUGGUAAUUCCCUCUGCUCCCCAUUUGUCUCGCUUUCCUACCAUCUUGUCUCGUGUCUUUCCCCCCCCCUCUUUUUUUUUACAAGCCUUUUCCACUGCUUUACAGUGACUAAUACUGAUAAAAUAUAAGACCACCGCACCACCAGGCUUCCAGUUACAUUUCCUUUGAAGCUCCCUGAACUGGUGCGUUCACUCUCUCUUGCUCCCUCCUUUUCUCUUGUUCCCACCCUCCUUUUCUCCAUGAAACGCACGCUGUAAUACCCAGUCACUCACAGACACAGAGGGCGAGAGACACAGGAACAGAAUACUGGACAUGCUACUGGAGCAGGAUUUUUUUUUUGUUUGCCUUAAAUGAAAAAGGAGCUUGAAAGAGACAUUGUAAGAUAAAACUGUAACUUCCUAUUUGACUGUCUUUGCCUUCUCGUUGUGCUACUGUAUGCUUUUGUUCUCUUCACGUCUCUCUCCCUCAUUUCUCUACCUUCCCUUAUCUCUCUUUCUCCAUAUACUAGGCCUUUUGUCUGUGUAAUUUCAGCUGUGGGGAGGGAAAUGAAUGGGUGAUAUUUAUUUCCUUUCCCACCCUGCUACUGCCGUUUUGAUGCUAUAUGUAACAAACAGGAAAAAAAAAGGGGCAAGCAGAGGCUCUUCAGUUUUUCAGCCCUGGGGACUUGAGCCUGCAAUCUAUGAAGCAUGGAAGGCAAAGGAGGGAAAGAAAAUACAGAGGCACAGGCACAGACCGAGAGGUGUGAUACAGCGAGACUAAAGCACCAAUCAAGAGCAGAAAGAAAAUGUGAGACAGAUGGAGCCAAGAGACGGACAGACAGACAGACAGAGGAAGAAAAAGAUGGGUAGUAGUGUCACAUGGAGAAAGGGCUGAGCAGCAGUAGGCAGAGGAACUACAGCAACAGGCGUUACACAUUUUUUCCUAUUAUUCACUGCUGUCGCUGUUUUGGCACACUGUGUCUCAGUCUUUUUUUUUUUUUCACAGCUACUAACCAGAUCUGCCAAAUUCUGACGGCUGACCGGCACAGGCGUACAGAGAAGACUGCGGCAGCCUCCGCCACCUCGGUCAGCUGGAGCUUGCUACACUCGCUGCUGCACACCGCCGCCAUCUUGUUACUGCCUGUGCUACUGGUCUGCCUGCCUUUGCUGCACUCAAACCAAAUCAUCAAACUCAGCCUGCGGUUGUUUCCAUGCCACUCCUGUUUGUGCGCAGCUUUGUCACAACACAGUGCUGCGCCCCAGCUACCGGACACAUGUCGUUGCUGCACAGAAGCAGACACACCUGGAACUUUUAUCUGGGUGUUUCUUUAAUAGCUGCCACAGAUUGGAUGCUGCAGACGGUGUUGUCAGCAUCUCUCAAACCAUCAGUAAGAUCUGUACCAUUGUAAUACACACUAUGCCCGAUGUAGAUUUAGCUAAGGACUUGACAUGCCGUACACCAUUAAAACAAGUAAAAAUAAGUGAAAUGUUAUUUUACAAAUUUACAAAUGAUUCAAAGUGGCAUGUCUUCUUUGCAGGAUUUAAGAAAAUUGCUCCUGUCGAAGAAAAUCAAUAACCACAAUCUGUCCCUUAUUCUGUGUAUAUAUUUUUCUCCAGAGCCCAUAUGCCUGAGCACAUAUAAUGUAUAUGCUAUCUUUGUGAGCGUGUGUGCUGUAAAGAGAGAGUGGGAAAGAGAAAGGAGGGGAGUGAGAGAGAAAGAGAAAGAGGGAGGAAUCAAGCGUCGGUAAGAAAGUCUUCCUAAUUCUGUUUGGCAGAAACUGUGCUGUUUAACCAUAUGUGCAGAGAGCAGGCUUUGCACAUGCUCAGAAUGACUCAGAGGACACGACUUUCACAUGUCUCAACGCAAUUAGAUUAACUAAUAGAUAAUUUUCCAGCAAAUAUAAAUAAGUUACAAUGAAGUCAUAAAUAAUUUAAAAAGUGUGCACUCUACCUUUAAUUAUUUUUGUUGGACCAACAGUAUGAGGUUAAAACAUGGGCAUUAGAAGGAGAGCGGGAUACAAACACAGCAAGUAUAUUCCAGCUUAUGGAAAUCUUAUUGCUGUAUUUAACUGUGCUUUGGUGAAAAACAAGUGGAAGUGUGUAGGUGGAGGCCAGAGUGAUACAGCAGUGAGUUCAGAAGGUCUUCAAUCCUCUAAGACUAUAUGCCAAGAAGACACCAUGCUAAUGAAAUCAUAAAGACGGUGAAGAAAACAAGCUGUCCCUGGAGAAUACAUCCAUGCAUCGGAGGUUGCCAGUUUUACUUUACUUGUGUCUGGGUAUACAUGUGCUGUAGCUUCGCAGUGAUACUGUAUUUAUAAGGUCAAAGGCUGCUUUGCUUCAGGGUUAAAAUGCUCUCAGCCUUUAUCUUAUGAUACCUUCAUCAGGUCAGUGAAGAUGACCCUUUGCCCCACCAGCUGAGUGGGACAGCGGGUUACAAGAGGUAUGCAUGUCACAGUAAUAUUUAUUAUGUGUAACAAGGAAGAAAAUUUUAAAAAGAAAAAGAAUUUAAAUCACUAUGAAAUACAGGGUACAAUUAGAAUUAGAUAGAAAAGAUCAAGAUGCAAUUAACGUUCAUACUUUAAAUAUUGGACAGAAAUAUGACGUUGAAUAAUUUUGGCCACUUUUAUACACAGUCCGCCAUCUUUAGGUGCUUAAAUGCAGUCGAACGAACGCUCAUUAUAAGUUGGGGGUGGUUUCAGUUACAGAACCAGCAGUUCUGGCCUAUUCAGAGAGCUCAGGUGGUGGAGCAGGUGGUGGAGCAGGUUUGGGCAAGACACUGAACCCCUAGUUGCUCUCGAUGGCAGAUGAGCUGUCUGAACACGUGUGGCCUAUAAAUGCCGAUCGUCUAAAAUCUGUACUUUUAAUACUUUGUCAGGAAUCAUUUGCAGGCAGUCUGAUUUCUGAAACCUUCUGAUAUUAAUGCUUCUGCGUUUCUGCAGUUGUUUGUUUACCCGUCUUGUCAUCAGGGAGUGAAAUUCAUACUCAGUCAGACUGAGAUUGGCCGAGAAAGUUAAAUUGUCUGCAUUGUGGUUGACUAUAAUCAAUGCAGACAUUGCUUGUCCUCAUUGUGUAAGGAUGGAAUCAUUAGAAACACCAAGUAACAGUGUAUUACGUACAGAGCAAAGAAUUCGUAGUUUAUCGAGCUACCAGGUCUCACGCAGAGUUAACUUUGAAUUAAUGAUUAAAAGCAAACAAUAGUCAACUGAUAGUUUUUAUGAAUGUUAUUAAUCUAGUUUAAAAUUUCAAAUUCAGUUGGAAUUUCAGAGACUUCAGAAACAAUACCGAAGCAAUAUUGCUGCAUUUUAAAUCCAUUUUUAAAUCCGUCCAUCCAAGUCAUCUUUGGGCAAAAUGCAGGAUAUACCGUGGACUCAUUACCAGUCUAUCACACGGCUAAUACAGAACACUUGCAGUCCAUCAGCUAAGAAUGGCUGCACAAUUAGAUCCCAUUUAGAGGAAUUAUUCACUGUCAAAAAGUCCAAUUUAUGCAGAAAGCAUAUAAGAGCAAUUAUGAAUUUCUUACUGGAAGGUAAGCUCCAUACUGGAACAUCACAAUACAAGUUCGUAGAGCUUGUCCAAUGAAAUAAUUCAUUAUAAUCCAAAGUGAGCCUUCAGUCAGCCUGGGAGUUGUCCUGCUAUGUUUUUAUGAUCCAGUUAACAGAAAUAAAGCCCUCAACUCUCCGGCUUGAGAAAUGACGUAAGCAGUUAACGAUUGGAAGAAUUUCUUUUGGACAAGAGCGGAGGACGUUGAUCAUUCAGGGUCAACAAUGAGCGCCUCGUUUGUUCUUUUUUUUCCCAUUUGUGGUAUAAAUAGAAGCAGUUCAGCCUUCAGUGGAGAGUUUGUGGAGCAUACUUACUGACUGUCGAAUGCAAAGAUGUUGCAUUCUUUAUUAUUCCAUAUCAACUGUCCUGGAAUCCAUUCCACCAUUUCCCAGAAUUACAGUCCUCAAAGUAUGUAAAUCCCAGCUGCUGUGAAUGGGUGUAGAAUCCCAAGGUUUGUGCAUGUGAACUAUUCAUUCUUCCUCUUUUUCUGACUGCCGAUGCAGUCAAAGCAUGGCUUCUUAUAAAGAGUUACAGGUGUAUCUGGGCUCGCCUUCUUGUUACAUAUGUAAUGCACAGCUGUCAAAAGUAAAUAAAGUAAAAAUCACAAAC